rnacentral:tRNA from 2 species
AGCUAUAUAGUUUAUUGAUAAUAUCUGUAUUGCUUUCAGAAGGUGCAUUUAUGCUUUAGUUU